AAGCUUCUUCUUGCUUCUAAAAGCUUUGAUGUUGUAGUAAAAGUUUGUACGAGUCUUUGUCUUCAUAUCUUCUAACAAGGAAACACUACUUAGGCUUUUAAGGUC
rnacentral:sRNA from 1 species